rnacentral:rRNA from 1 species
AUUGAACGCUGGCGGCAUGCCUUACACAUGCAAGUCGAACGGCAGCAUGAUCUAGCUUGCUAGAUUGAUGGCGAGUGGCGAACGGGUGAGUAAUACAUCGGAACGUGCCCUGUAGUGGGGGAUAACUAGUCGAAAGAUUAGCUGAUACCGCAUACGACCUGAGGGUGAAAGUGGGGGACCGCAUGGCCUCAUGCUAUAGGAGCGGCCGAUGUCUGAUUAGCUAGUUGGUGAGGUAAAGGCUCACCAAGGCGACGAUCAGUAGCUGGUCUAAGAGGACGAUCAGCCACACUGGGACCGAGACACGGCCCAGACUCCUACGGGAGGCAGCAGUGGGGAAUUUUGGACAAUGGGGGCAACCCUGAUCCAGCAAUGCCGCGUGUGUGAAGAAGGCCUUCGGGUUGUAAAGCACUUUUGUCCGGAAAGAAAUCGCACUUACUAAUAUUAGGUGUGGAUGACGGUACCGGAAGAAUAAGGACCGGCUAACUACGUGCCAGCAGCCGCCGUAAUAC